AUGACCGGCGGCGUGAACGGCAACGGCGGAGGAGGAGGCGGCAACGGCGGGGCGUGCGCGGUGUGCAAGCACCAGCGGCGCAAGUGCGAGCCCAACUGCGAGCUGGCCGCCUACUUCCCGGCCAACAGGAUGAACGACUUCCGCGCGCUGCACCUCGUCUUCGGGGUGGCCAACCUCACCAAGCUCAUCAAGGCCAACGCCACCGAGGCGGCGCGGCGGCGCGCCGCCGAGACGCUGACGUGGGAGGCGCGGUGGCGCGAGCGCGACCCCUCCGAGGGGUGCUACCGCGAGGUCUCCUGCCUCCGCCGCGAGAACGCUGUGCUGCGCGCCGAGAACGCCGCGCUCAGGCGCCGGGCCAACCAGUGCGCGUGCUGCGCCACCACGUUGCAGCAGCAGCAGCAGCAGCAGAUACUGCUCGUCUCGGCUUACAACAACGGCGCCCGGCCCCCCGGCGGCGUGCUGCACGGCGCCAGCGCCGGGGUCGUGCCCGGCGGCUUCUACAGCGGCAAUGCCGGCGCCGUCCGUGCCGCCAAUGGCAACGGGGCGAUGCCCGCGCGGCCUCACGUGUCAGCUCCGGCGCCGCAGACGACGAUGGCCGGGUACGCGCAGGGGGAUCGCCACCACGCCGCGUCCGGCGGAGCGAACGGCACCGGCGCAGCUGGUCAGGCGGAGCCCAGGGAGAAGAGCAGCGCGAGGUGUGACGCUCAGCGCACAGCUAGCUAG
rnacentral:rRNA from 1 species